GUUUAAAGCUGGUGCAGUGCUACAUUAUGAUCUAACAAAUAGCAUAACCCACAUUGCAACAGAAAAGUUAAUACUGGCCAAAUGCAAAAGAAAUAAACUUAACACAUUACAAUUGUCUCAAGUGUUCAAAAAAGAACAUUUCAUUAGUAUUGUUUAAUGGAUCAAAGCAGGGCUACUGCAAACAAGACCAAUUGGUGAGUGCACAUAUUUAAAAGUCGCUGACAGCACUUCAUGCAUAUAGGAGUGAUAUGUGGAGGUUGUUUGGCCUUGAUGUCUGUAAAGUAGUAGCUCCCCAAGAAUUUUAGUCUUGGGGAGUUUUUGGUUCAGUACUGAUAUCAGAAUUCCCAUAGACUUUGAAUGCACCACACCUGCACAGCAGUUAGUCACGGCUCCUCCCUGCUCAGAGCUAGCGUGCUUUUCUUUUAAGGCCUUGGUCUGCAUGGAGAGAGAAACAGGAGAUGUAAUCGGUUGAGCAGGAAGAUUUGCUGUAUUAUUGUGUUGAAGAAUAUCCUGGCUGUUUUUUUUUUUACAUAGUUGCAGAAUCUGCUGUUACAGCUGAGCGGUUCAUUGUAUGGACUGGACUAGACUCCACCAGAGAUGUUGAUGCAGAAUGUUCCCAAUGUGAAUGCCAUCCGGUUCCCUGGAGGGUGACGCUGUUCUUCUGGAGUUUCCGUAGACAAGUGUCUCUGAUGUGCGCACGGCCAUCAGACGAAAAUGUAACAAUGAGCAGUUCAGCCAAAAAAA